AAAAAUCUUACUAUUAUAUUUGUAACAAAUUUUAUACAUAAGAUAAAUUCGUAUGUAUAGCCGUUCUGCUCGAAACGGUAUAGCACUCUAGUAGUGGUAUUAUGAAUUGUAGCAAGGUGUGUGGCGACCUUUUUAACAGUCAUGGCGGUGUCCUGAGUGGGUACUUUGUAAAUGGUAGAAAUAGAAAGUAAGCUAUGCCAUUAGUUGCUGGGCAGGACUAGCAACAACAAGCGAAUUAGCUUGUUACAAAGUAAGU
rnacentral:sRNA from 12 species